rnacentral:snRNA from 1 species
AUCGCUUCUCGGCCUUUUGGCUAAGAUCAAAGUGUAGUAUCUGUUCUUAUCAGCUUAAUAUCUGAUACGUACCCCAUCGGCUUGAAUGACUAGUAUACUCACUUAACUUGAU